GGGAUAGACACAUCUUCUAUUUCAGAGGCUGACAAGCAGCGAAACAAAACAUCGCGGAGGACAGGCUGCAAUGCAAGAAUGAGGGUGAAGGUGUAGGAGGAUAACACAUGCGUGGCAGUGGACAUUGAGUACAAUCAUAAUCACAAACUCAUGCAAACUGAUGACAUGCUGGUUUUCUUGCACUCACACAAGAAUUAUGACCCCACUAUUUUGGAGUACGUAAAACUCCUGCAGUACCAUGAUGUCAAGCACACAACAAUCAUGUCUAUGCUAUCUGAAAAUGAAGAUGGAAGCUACUUCCUAAGCAUGACUGGACGAGACUUACUAAACCAGAAAGCCAUGAAUGCAAGGAAAGAUGAUUUGGAUGAUGUGUUGAAACCCGUUUCAUUCUUCAAGGACAUGAAGGCAAUCAAUGAUGAGUUUUUCUAUGACAUACAAUCCAAUGCAAGUUGUCGAGGAGCGUAUCAAGACUUUGGCGAUUGCGUAACCUUUGACACAACUUACAAAACCAACAGAUUUCAUAUGCCUCUGGGAGUGUUUGUUGGAAGAAACCAUCACUUGCAGUCAACAAUAUUUGCUGUUGCCCUUAUCAGAGACGAAGAUGCAAAAUCAUUCAAGUGGCUGUUUUAUACAUUUGUACGGUGCAUGAACAACAAGAACCCAACUUGCAUUAUAACAGACCAUUGCCCAUCGAUGGCGAAAGCUAUAGCACAAUCAUUCCCAAACACCGUCCACAAGCUAUGCUGUUGGCACAUCCUGAAGAAGUACAAGGAAUACCUCGCGUUGCUGUACAAAAAGUACAAAACAUUCAAAGAGGAGUUCACAGCUAUAUUAAACUGGCCGCUGAUGCCAACGGAGUUUGAAACUGCCUGGGCUGAACUCGUGCACAGGUACAAUCUGGAGAACGACCAGAUGAUGAUGCAGCUCUGGAAUGAUAGGAAAAUGUGGAUUUGAGCAUAUUAGAAGAACAUUUUCUGUGCCAGAAUGACUUCCACACAACAAAGCGAGAGCAUGAACCACGUGCUAAAGAGAGGGUUUGUCAGGGGGACCCAGAACCUACACAAGUUUGCUAGGCGGGUAAAUGCUUGCAUACAAACUCGGAUACAAAAGGAGAACGAGCAAACAAUGACCAACAUGGUAUGA
rnacentral:rRNA from 1 species